rnacentral:misc_RNA from 1 species
GUGUAAAAUGGUAGAAGAAAGGCUCUACAUAGGGUACGACUUUGGUGGAAUUAAGAUCCCAUACUGAUUAGAUAUAAAAUAUAUUGAAUUUGUUGCCAUUGAAUUCCUUUUUGGAAAAUUUAUUGUAAUUACCAUACACAGCUUCUUUGAAAUUGCUCUUCUUAUAAUUCUGGGAUUUAGACAUCAAUAUAGCAGUAGUCUCACUUGAUUCAACAACAAAAUUCUGCACCUCUUAACAACAAAAUUCUGCACCUCUCUCUCUGUUUUUCAACUCUAAGCACCAUA